rnacentral:rRNA from 1 species
AUGAACGCUAGCGACAGGCCUAACACAUGCAAGUCGAGGGGCAGCGAAGAGGUAGCAAUACCUUUGUCGGCGACCGGCGCACGGGUGAGUAACACGUAUGCAAUCCACCUGUAACAGGGGGAUAACCCGGAGAAAUCCGGACUAAUACCCCAUAAUAUGGACACUCCGCAUGGAGAGUUCAUUAAAGAGAGCAAUUUUGGUUACAGACGAGCAUGCGCUCCAUUAGCCAGUUGGCGGGGUAACGGCCCACCAAGGCGACGAUGGAUAGGGGUUCUGAGAGGAAGGUCCCCCACAUUGGAACUGAGACACGGUCCAAACUCCUACGGGAGGCAGCAGUGAGGAAUAUUGGUCAAUGGUCGGCAGACUGAACCAGCCAAGUCGCGUGAGGGAAGACGGCCCUACGGGUUGUAAACCUCUUUUGUCGGAGAGUAAAGUACGCUACGUGUAGUGUAUUGCAAGUAUCCGAAGAAAAAGCAUCGGCUAACUCCGUGCCAGCAGCCGCGGUAAUACGGAGGAUGCAAGCGUUAUCCGGAUUUAUUGGGUUUAAAGGGUGCGUAGGCGGCACGCCAAGUCAGCGGUGAAAUUUCCGGGCUCAACCCGGAAUGUGCCGUUGAAACUGGCGAGCUAGAGUGCACAAGAGGCAGGCGGAAUGCGUGGUGUAGCGGUGAAAUGCAUAGAUAUCACGCAGAACCCCGAUUGCGAAGGCAGCCUGCUAGGGUGCGACAGACGCUGAGGCACGAAAGCGUGGGUAUCGAACAGGAUUAGAUACCCUGGUAGUCCACGCAGUAAACGAUGAAUACUAACUGUUUGCGAUACAAUGUAAGCGGUACAGCGAAAGCGUUAAGUAUUCCACCUGGGGAGUACGCCGGCAACGGUGAAACUCAAAGGAAUUGACGGGGGCCCGCACAAUUGGAGGAACAUGUGGUUUAAUUCGAAGCAACGCGAAGAACCUUACCAAGUCUUGACAUCGAUCUGACAGGGCCGUAAUGGGCCCAUUCCUUCGGGACAGAGAAGACAGGUGGUGCAUGGUUGUCGUCAGCUCGUGUCGUGAGAUGUUGGGUUAAGUCCCGCAACGAGCGCAACCCCUAUCUUCAGUAGCCAGCAGGUUAAGCUGGGCACUCUGGAGAGACUGCCAGGGAUAACCUGGAGGAAGGUGGGGAUGACGUCAAAUCAUCAUGCCCCUUACGAGCAGGGCUACACACGUGCUACAAUGGCGUAAACAAAGGGAAGCGGAGCCGUGAGGCCGAGCAAAUCUCAAAAAUAACGUCUCAGUUCGGACUGUAGUCUGCAACCCGACUACACGAAGCUGGAAUCGCUAGUAAUCGCAGAUCAGAAUGCUGCGGUGAAUACGUUCCCGGGCCUUGUACACACCGCCCGUCAAGCCAUGGAAGCCGGGAGUACCUGAAGCAUGCAACCGCAAGGAGCGUACGAAGGUAAUACCGGUAACUGGGGCU